rnacentral:rRNA from 1 species
CCUACGGGUGGCUGCAGUGAGGAAUAUUGGUCAAUGGACGAGAGUCUGAACCAGCCAAGUAGCGUGAAGGAUGACUGCCCUAUGGGUUGUAAACUUCUUUUAUAUGGGAAUAAAAUGUUCCACGUGUGGGAUUUUGUAUGUACCAUAUGAAUAAGGAUCGGCUAACUCCGUGCCAGCAGCCGCGGUAAUACGGAGGAUCCGAGCGUUAUCCGGAUUUAUUGGGUUUAAAGGGAGCGUAGGUGGAUUGUUAAGUCAGUUGUGAAAGUUUGCGGCUCAACCGUAAAAUUGCAGUUGAAACUGGAAGUCUUGAGUACAGAAGAGGUAGGCGGAAUAAGUGAAGUAGCGGUGAAAUGCUUAGAUAUCACGAAGAACUCCGAUUGCGAAGGCAGCUCACUGGACUGCAACUGACACUGAGGCUCGAAAGUGUGGGUAGCAAACAGGAUUAGAUACCCGGGUAGUC